rnacentral:rRNA from 1 species
UGGGGAAUUUUGGACAAUGGGGGCAACCCUGAUCCAGCCAUGCCGCGUGUCUGAAGAAGGCCUUCGGGUUGUAAAGGACUUUUGUCGGGGAGCAAAUCCUGCCUGUGAAUAGCGGGUGGGGAUGAGAGUACCUGAAGAAUAAGCACCGGCUAACUACGUGCCAGCAGCCGCGGUAAUACGUAGGGUGCAAGCGUUAAUCGGAAUUACUGGGCGUAAAGCGUGCGCAGGCGGUUGGACAAGCUUGAUGUGAAAGCCCCGGGCUUAACCUGGGAACGGCAUUGAGGACUGUUCAGCUAGAGUACGUCAGAGGGGGGUAGAAUUCCACGUGUAGCAGUGAAAUGCGUAGAGAUGUGGAGGAAUACCGAUGGCGAAGGCAGCCCCCUGGGAUGAUACUGACGCU